rnacentral:lncRNA from 1 species
UAAGGAGCAGAGCUGACUCUCAAAAUGCUGGUCCAGGUUGUGGCUCUGCUGGGUCUGGGGGUGCUGGGCAGCUCAGCACAACUGCAGGAGGAACGCUCUAGGACUUUGGUGGGAUUGAUCACUCGAGAACUUCUCCAAGAUAUGAAGAAACUAAAUUUAAAUGCAGUUCCCAGCCUUGUAAUGGUGAAUGCUACGGUGGAGAGAUGCAUGCACAGCCACCUGAAAACCUUUGCUAGCACCUUGGCAGGUCUUGACACUCACAGCAAAGUCAUGGCCAGAAAACUGACCAGACUUAACACCUACAAAAACAUCCUCCCCAAAGAUCUCGAUAAGAAAUGUAAGACUGCACAAGUAACAUGGUAUGACUUCCUGGACACACUAGACAGGUUCUUGAGAUUGCUCUCUGAGAAAAUUCAAAUGCCUAAAUAGAGCAACAAGUCCAAAUCUGGGAAGAAAAGGAGAACUUGAACUCUGUUGCAAACAAACUGUGACUCAAUUAACUUAUCCUCAGGAAUGUAGCCAUAGAAUAUUUAUAUAAAGAGAGAUAUGUUGUGUGUAUAUAUAUAUGUAUAAAAAGUGAUGUUAUAACUG